CUGUGGAGAACCCUGAAGUUCAGGAACAAAUGGUUCCUACAGCCUGAAGGACCAACAGCUCCUCUGCACUCAGUUUAUGGAUAAAUGCAGUGAAACAAGAGGCGGAGCCUAAACUGGAACAUCAUGGAUUAUUGAUGAAAUGAUGGAACUUUGAGGAAUCUGGUUGUAGAUGAUUAUUAAUCAAUAUUUAACUUUGAACAUGAGUCACAAAUGUUUAACAAAAACAUCAUAUCUGGAUCAUUUCUGUGCCCAUGUGGA